rnacentral:rRNA from 1 species
UACGGGGGGGGCAAGCGUUGUUCGGAAUUACUGGGCGUAAAGGGCUCGUAGGCGGCCAACUAAGUCGGAUGUGAAAUCCCCAGGCUCAACCUGGGAACUGCAUCCGAUACUGGAUGGCUUGAAUUCGGGAGAGGGAUGCGGAAUUCCAGGUGUAGCGGUGAAAUGCGUAGAUAUCUGGAGGAACACCGGUGGCGAAGGCGGCAUCCUGGACCGGCAUUGACGCUGAGGCGCGAAAGCCAGGGGAGCAAACGGG